rnacentral:lncRNA from 1 species
AACUUGGCGCCCCGGCCUUCGGGCUGUUAUUUUUGGGCGAGGCUUUGCCCGCGGCCUAUUUUUGGCACACGGAGGCCCCUCACAAAGUCUCGCGCCAUUCCGAGUCCGGCGGACGAAGUUGGCCAGCCCCACCCCCCAAGGCUAUAGCCCACCCGUUUUUGUGGCCUUUUUCCGCUGGACGAAUUUGGCGCCCUGGCCUUCGGGCGGUUAUUUUUGCGUGCGGCUUUGCCCGUGGCCUAUUUUUGUCACACGGAGGCCCCUCACAAAAUCUCGCGGCAUUCCGAGACCGGUGGACAAAGUGGGCAAGCCCCACCCCCAAGACUAUAGGCCACCCGUUUUUGUGGCCUUUUUCCGCUGGACGAACUUGGCGCCCCGGGCUUCGGGCUGUUAUUUUUGGGCACGGCUUUGCCCGCGGCCUAUUUUUGGCACACGGAAGGCCCUCGCAAAGUAUCGCGCCAUUCCGAGUCCGGCGGACGACGUGGGCCAGCCCCACCCCCCAAGGCUAUAGCCCACCCAUUUUGGUGGCCUUUUUCCGCUGGACGAACUUGGCGCCCCGGCCUUCGGGCGGUUAUUUUU